AAAAUAUUAGAAAGAAACAAACAAAAAGGGAGAGAAAAAAGAAGAAGCCUUUAAUUGUGAUGUACAAAUUCAUAUAUUUGGAUAAAGGAAAAUAGAGACCAAGAGAGGAGAGUGUGAGAGCUAAACUGAAAAACAUUUGGAAUUCCUGGUCUUUAAACUGGGCUGAUGGAAUAAACCUGGCCUGGAAACAUCACCUCUCCUGGGCUCCAUUUUAUCAUUGCUGAGUUGGAAAGAGGGAGCAAUUGUCAGAUCCCUUGCUGGCCACUGUGGGUGAAGCCCAGAUCAUUAACCCUGGACCUCAAAGGUGGUGUGUGUAUAUGAGGUGAACCUGGGAGAAAUCUCCUCUAACAGCAAGUGGAAUGUAAGGGUGCUCAGGGCAAGAGAACUGGGAGAACUCAUCAGACUAUAAACAGCCAGCCAAAGGGGGCAUUGCUCGCCUCUGAGCCCCUGGCCUGGGCUGUGACUGACCUACAGAGACCACUGGAUAUCCUUCCUCAUCUAAACAGGAUAAAAUGACUGCAUUUGAAUUUCACUCACCCGAGAUGGUUCCUCCCCUCUGCCUGCAAUGACCCUGGAUUCUGGCUCACUUCUGGCUUCUUACUGAACACGUCACAGCUAAGACUAAGCACCGUGUAUCAGCUUCCACUGAUCCUGAAAGAAAAUACUGUUUGAAAAAAGCUUCUUUCAUGCACAGCUUCAAGAAAAUCAGAACACCAUUCACUUCUCAAACCACCCAUAAGAUAUCUAACUUCACAAAAAUAAAUCUUCUUUAUGGCACACCAAAGAUUUUCUCUCUGAAGUUCCCAUGAGCGGUGUUAUUUAUCUAUAAAGAAGUCUCCUCCAAGAAAGCAGCAACAGCGAGCUCAUGGUGCAGCCUUUCUUCCAGAACUGAGGGGCUCGAUUCUCACUGGCAUUAUUAGGCAGACUUCAUGAAACUUUGAAAUGGCCGCUGUACCAAAUGGAAACAGAGCAUCUGGUUUCCCAUCUCAAGGACAAUCCUUUGACAUGAAAAUUGUCAUCCCCUUUUUACAGGAUUUGAAGGAAGAAUGGAUCCAAGAGCAAAAAGGCAGCUCCACCUAACCCUGGGAAGGACCGGUGGAUCGACACAUCAUGAAUAUGGGAAGAAAAACAAGUUUGACAACGUCACUGACAAAUUUGCAGAAGUUAAUUGCAAAAACAGACACUGUAACAUUAUUAUUCAUUACUGUAAAAGACCAGUAGGGCAAAGACGAGCAGAAGACUGAACCUUCAGGACCUGCCUACCCACCUGAGUGAAGCUGGGGAGGGAAUGGGAGUGAGGAGGAUUCAGCUAUAGCACAAGCCCUGCUUGGACUCUCAGACCCCUGUGUCAAGCCAUGUCCAGCCAGGAGCACUCAGUGGCUUUCCUCU